rnacentral:rRNA from 1 species
UUCGACACACUAUCAUUAACUGAAUCCAUAGGUUAAUGAGGCGAACCGGGGGAACUGAAACAUCUAAGUACCCCGAGGAAAAGAAAUCAACCGAGAUUCCCCCAGUAGCGGCGAGCGAACGGGGAGGAGCCCAGAGCCUGAAUCAGUGUGUGUGUUAGUGGAAGCGUCUGGAAAGGCGCGCGAUACAGGGUGACAGCCCCGUACACAAAAAUGCACAUGCUGUGAGCUCGAUGAGUAGGGCGGGACACGUGGUAUCCUGUCUGAAUAUGGGGGGACCAUCCUCCAAGGCUAAAUACUCCUGACUGACCGAUAGUGAACCAGUACCGUGAGGGAAAGGCGAAAAGAACCCCGGCGAGGGGAGUGAAAAAGAACCUGAAACCGUGUACGUACAAGCAGUGGGAGCACAGAGCAAUCUGUGUGACUGCGUACCUUUUGUAUAAUGGGUCAGCGACUUAUAUUCUGUAGCAAGGUUAACCGAAUAGGGGAGCCGAAGGGAAACCGAGUCUUAACUGGGCGUUAAGUUGCAGGGUAUAGACCCGAAACCCGGUGAUCUAGCCAUGGGCAGGUUGAAGGUUGGGUAACACUAACUGGAGGACCGAACCGACUAAUGUUGAAAAAUUAGCGGAUGACUUGUGGCUGGGGGUGAAAGGCCAAUCAAACCGGGAGAUAGCUGGUUCUCCCCGAAAGCUAUUUAGGUAGCGCCUCGUGAAUUCAUCUCCGGGGGUAGAGCACUGUUUCGGCAAGGGGGUCAUCCCGACUUACCAACCCGAUGCAAACUGCGAAUACCGGAGAAUGUUAUCACGGGAGACACACGGCGGGUGCUAACGUCCGUCGUGAAGAGGGAAACAACCCAGACCGCCAGCUAAGGUCCCAAAGUCAUGGUUAAGUGGGAAACGAUGUGGGAAGGCCCAGACAGCCAGGAUGUUGGCUUAGAAGCAGCCAUCAUUUAAAGAAAGCGUAAUAGCUCACUGGUCGAGUCGGCCUGCGCGGAAGAUGUAACGGGGCUAAACCAUGCACCGAAGCUGCGGCAGCGACGCUGAUGCGUUGUUGGGUAGGGGAGCGUUCUGUAAGCCUGUGAAGGUGUGCUGUGAGGCAUGCUGGAGGUAUCAGAAGUGCGAAUGCUGACAUAAGUAACGAUAAAGCGGGUGAAAAGCCCGCUCGCCGGAAGACCAAGGGUUCCUGUCCAACGUUAAUCGGGGCAGGGUGAGUCGACCCCUAAGGCGAGGCCGAAAGGCGUAGUCGAUGGGAAACAGGUUAAUAUUCCUGUACUUGGUGUUACUGCGAAGGGGGGACGGAGAAGGCUAUGUUGGCCGGGCGACGGUUGUCCCGGUUUAAGCGUGUAGGCUGGUUUUCCAGGCAAAUCCGGAAAACUAAGGCUGAGGCGUGAUGACGAGGCACUACGGUGCUGAAGCAACAAAUGCCCUGCUUCCAGGAAAAGCCUCUAAGCAUCAGGUAACAUCAAAUCGUACCCCAAACCGACACAGGUGGUCAGGUAGAGAAUACCAAGGCGCUUGAGAGAACUCGGGUGAAGGAACUAGGCAAAAUGGUGCCGUAACUUCGGGAGAAGGCACGCUGAUAUGUAGGUGAAGUCCCUCGCGGAUGGAGCUGAAAUCAGUCGAAGAUACCAGCUGGCUGCAACUGUUUAUUAAAAACACAGCACUGUGCAAACACGAAAGUGGACGUAUACGGUGUGACGCCUGCCCGGUGCCGGAAGGUUAAUUGAUGGGGUCAGCGCAAGCGAAGCUCUUGAUCGAAGCCCCGGUAAACGGCGGCCGUAACUAUAACGGUCCUAAGGUAGCGAAAUUCCUUGUCGGGUAAGUUCCGACCUGCACGAAUGGCGUAAUGAUGGCCAGGCUGUCUCCACCCGAGACUCAGUGAAAUUGAACUCGCUGUGAAGAUGCAGUGUACCCGCGGCAAGACGGAAAGACCCCGUGAACCUUUACUAUAGCUUGACACUGAACAUUGAGCCUUGAUGUGUAGGAUAGGUGGGAGGCUUUGAAGUGUGGACGCCAGUCUGCAUGGAGCCGACCUUGAAAUACCACCCUUUAAUGUUUGAUGUUCUAACGUUGACCCGUAAUCCGGGUUGCGGACAGUGUCUGGUGGGUAGUUUGACUGGGGCGGUCUCCUCCUAAAGAGUAACGGAGGAGCACGAAGGUUGGCUAAUCCUGGUCGGACAUCAGGAGGUUAGUGCAAUGGCAUAAGCCAGCUUGACUGCGAGCGUGACGGCGCGAGCAGGUGCGAAAGCAGGUCAUAGUGAUCCGGUGGUUCUGAAUGGAAGGGCCAUCGCUCAACGGAUAAAAGGUACUCCGGGGAUAACAGGCUGAUACCGCCCAAGAGUUCAUAUCGACGGCGGUGUUUGGCACCUCGAUGUCGGCUCAUCACAUCCUGGGGCUGAAGUAGGUCCCAAGGGUAUGGCUGUUCGCCAUUUAAAGUGGUACGCGAGCUGGGUUUAGAACGUCGUGAGACAGUUCGGUCCCUAUCUGCCGUGGGCGCUGGAGAACUGAGGGGGGCUGCUCCUAGUACGAGAGGACCGGAGUGGACGCAUCACUGGUGUUCGGGUUGUCAUGCCAAUGGCACUGCCCGGUAGCUAAAUGCGGAAGAGAUAAGUGCUGAAAGCAUCUAAGCACGAAACUUGCCCCGAGAUGAGUUCUCCCUGACUCCUUGAGAGUCCUGAAGGAACGUUGAAG